UUAUCAGUCUAAAAUCUCAUUCCAAUAUCAGAAAUUAGAAUAGGUAGCUCCAUGUCUGAAAAAUGACCAGGAACACAUAAUCUUCAUUGUUCUACAGGCCAGGUAAAGAUAUUUAAAAAGACAGGUAAGUCUCCUUGGAAUCAGAGAGCAAUGUUUCUGCUACAUCAGCAAGUAACUUUAUUGCAUUGAUAACUUUGUUAUCUCUAUACAUUCGUAAUUCUGAGCAUGAAGCAACCACUACAGGCACUUAUUGCAACUAUGGAUGAAAUGGACCUGGUUAUCCAUUCUUUAUAGGUACAUUUAUUAUUUAUGGGUUAUGUCACUUUUAGUUAAUAGAGCAGAAUAUUUGAUUUUUAGUUAUUUAUUUAAGUUUGAUUGCAGAAUUUGAGCCACAUCAGGAAACACAACACACAUCUAAGAUGCAUUUCCUAGAAGGAAAAAUAAAAGUUUCCUUAUUUAAGCUCUCAUUAUAUGAAAAACAAAGAGGAAAGAAUCUGUAGCUCAAAGGCAGAGCUGGGCCUAUAAAUUAAUUACUGCUUAACAAAGAUAACUCUGCAAGAAGUUGCUCACAAUUAGGAAUUGGGGAAAAUAUUCCUAAUUCCAUUGGAAAACAUAGUUCUUUGAGCGAGCAUGAGGGGAUCGUACCCAUCAGCCAAAACUGUGAAUUUCUACAACACAGGUUCCUCAAAACGAGAGUAAAAAAAAAARUGGAGGUGAAAACAAAGUGCAGCUGUUGUGUCAGCUAUUAUAACGCUUUUCAUUGCUCUAAAGAAGAGAUUGACAGGAAUUGUUUUAUGCAUCUCUAGGCUUCUUCCUGUUAGUGUUUUUCACUGCUGACCUCAAUUUUGAAAUUCUCACACUCUUUUCCAAACUAAGCCUUCAUUUUUUGAUCUAUUGCUGGAUUCCUCUAUUUUUUCCCCAGGAUGUGGCGAGGAGGAGAGGGUCAGAGUGGAAGGAAGUAAAAAACYGUUAUCGAAUUUAUCAUCUACAUUUAGAAGUUUCUUUCAGAGAGAACAGAAACACUGAGUGCCGCAAACAUGCUUACAAGCCUUUUCAGCAUGUUGAAAGAGCCUGUGAAACAUGCAGUCUCAUGAAAGAUAAUAGUCCUUUAUAACUCAUUGCGUUUCUGCAGGUAAGUAUGACCCUUGGAUGAGGUGUUUAUGUGGUUUCGUUAGCAGCAGCUUCUGUAAGAGAAUUGCCUGGUUUCUUCCUGAGAACAUGUGAAGGAAAAUAA
ensembl:lncRNA